rnacentral:rRNA from 1 species
AUGUGUAUGGGAGGUGCUGGCCAGAUGGCUCGUAAGCAGCUGAAUCUGGCCGCGUCAGUCGGCGGUCGAGCAGACAACAGCAACUGCGCUGCUCCUGCUCGUUGGAGUGGCGCUCGUGGCCACACCACGGCCGCGGCUACGCCCCUGCCGGCCUCGAGAACCUCCAUGGCUGACCUCUCACAGCGUCGCCCCGUUCUGGCCUCAAAGGUGAAGUCAUGCGCCCUUCCUCUCCAUCUUGAACCGACGUGGCUGUCACUUGCCUCCUGCCUGUACUCCCAGCCACGGGAGACCUCCUCCAACUCCGUGCUUGAGGACUCCAUCGUCUCAGUUGACCCCCCGUGGGUGCUGUCAUGUCCGAGUAGUACAAGCUCUGCUCCGCUCGAACGAUGCUGCCGCCACAAGCUCCGCUCCGGCGAGACCUACGCCCCCUCCUGCAGCUUUCAAAUCACCAUGGCCAUGGCCUGGGCGCUGUUCUUCCUCCAUUCAAGGCAAGCCAAGCCAAGCCUGUUCCUACUCCUCCUCUUCACUUCCUUGGCGUCGAUCCACCAGGCACAUCCCAUGAUCUGGCAGACGCCGGAGCUGCGAGGUGGGAGAAGGGGAUGGGCCGGCGGCAAGGUGGGUCGGUGCCAGGUGAGGUGA